GAGGAAACUGAAGCUUAGGGUAGUCACAGC
rnacentral:piRNA from 2 species